rnacentral:rRNA from 1 species
UACGUAGGUGGCGAGCGUUGUCCGGAGUUACUGGGCGUAAAGCGCGCGCAGGCGGCCCUGUGCGCUGCCGGUGAAAGCUCCCGGCUUACCUGGGAGAGGUUCGGCAGGACGGCAGGGCUGGAGGGUGGGAGAGGUCGGUGGAAUUCCCGGUGUAGUGGUGAAAUGCGUAGAGAUCGGGAGGAACACCCGUAGCGAAGGCGGCCGACUGGACCACACCUGACGCUGAGGCGCGAAGGCCAGGGGAGCGAACGGG